rnacentral:tRNA from 1 species
GUGGUUGUGGCUCAGUGGUAGAGUGCUUGCCUCACAUGUGUGACUGGGUUCAAUUCUCAGCACCACA